rnacentral:ncRNA from 1 species
CCAGAUGAGGCACCACUCGAAGGCAAUGCCAAAGUGGUGCUGAUGG